GUGCUUGCUUCGGCAGCACAUAUGCUAAAAUUGGAAUGAUAGAAGAUCAGCAUAGACUCUGAAAAAAGUCAAUUAAAAAAAUGGAUUACUUGCUA
rnacentral:snRNA from 1 species